ensembl:lncRNA
CUCCUCUGUUUCCUCCUCCUCUGGUGAAGCUCUGUUACUGUUGGGGGGAGAUCAAUAAAGAUGUGAUUACUUUAAUCCAAGCUGAUGGAAUUGACAUUAAAGACCUUGUGAUCGAAUUUCAAUUUCCGUAGUGUAUUUGAUAAUGUUUGUGUGGGGAUAUUUGUGGUGUAAUGUUUGUGUGUGUGUGUUGGUGAAAUAUAUUUGUGUGUUUUGGUGUAAUGUUCGUGUGUGUGUUGGAGUAAUGUUUGUGUGUGUGUGUGUUGGUGUAAUGUUUGUUUGUGUAAUGUUUAUGUAUAUGUGGGUUUAAUGUCAGUGUGUGUUAGUGUAAUGUUUGUGUUGGUGGUAGGGUUGUUAGUUUCGUGGAAGGGUUCGUUUGGUGGUAGGGUUAGUUAGUUUGGUGGUAGUUUGGUUUUUGGGUUAGUUAGUUGGAUGGUAGGGUUAGUUAGUUAGGGUUAGGGUUAGCUUUGAUCAGAAUCCAAACCUCUGGUGAAUGCUGCAGAUCAGACGCCAUUUUGUCCUUUCUAGAUACGAAUUUAACUGUUGCUGUAAAAUGGGAGAAAACACGUUCAUAGAAAUAUUGAUUAGGGCCGUGAGAUUCCUUGAUGUCCUUUGAAUACGACAAGGUAGCAUCGAGCGCGGUGUUGAGACCCCCAGACCCUCGGUGCGCCCAAACAGAGCAGCUCAGGACGAAGAACACUCCUCUUCAUCUCCAAACCACGCGUCCAUGAUGGAGAGUUGAUGGAUUAGUAGUGAGUUGUUGGAUCUGUUGCUGACCCUGUCCUGGUGAGACCGGGUCUGUGCAGACAGACGGGUUGGUAUCCUCCUCCCACGCUGUGACAUCAUCAACUGUCACAGCCUCAUGCUUCCAUAAUGCGUCCUGUACCUGUUGUAGCCGGCUCCCCCUGGGACCUCCACCAACCUGACGCUUCACACCUGGCCUCGGACACACAGCUAGAACCAGGCGACACGCACACACCGCUAGAACCAGGCGGCACGCACACACGGCUAGAACCAAGAUCAAGGGAACGUCAUGUUGAUGUUGAUGUUGAUGUUGAAGUAUGAUGUGGAUGUUGAUGUUGAUGUGGAUGUUGA